UCCAAAAAUGUGCAUAUUUUGAAAAAAAAAAUUAAAAAGGACUGGGUCUACCUACAAAAAAAGCUUCAAGCACGGCUUCAACUUCCCCCCCUGACUUAGUCUUCCAGUUAUUAUUAGAGUUCACUGGGCUACCCUAAUCUACGAAUCUGCGAAUGUUUCCGAACAAUCUACGAAUGUUUCCGAACUGUUUACGAUAUAAAAACAUUAAAAAGGUUUGAUCAUUCGGCUCAAAUACUCAAUGUAUUUGUUUAUCGUACGCUUUCUUUUGUUGGAAUAAAAAUAUUCUCCGCAAAAAAUUGCAAAUUUCGAGCUUCGAAGAAAGUUUCUUCGGUAUUAAGGUAAGCGUUUUGAAUUUUUAUAGUAUAUACAGUCCCGAGAACACGUGUAAAAUAUAUUCUGGCAUUUUACACGUGUAAAAUAU